AUAUCAAUAAGCGGAGGAAAAGAAACUAACAAGGAUUCCCCUAGUAACUGCGAGUGAAGCGGGAAAAGCUCAAAUUUAAAAUCUGAGGGUCUUUAUGGCCUUCCGAGUUGUAAUCUAGAGAAGUGCUAUCCGCGCUGGACCGUGUACAAGUCUCCUGGAACGGAGCGUCAUAGAGGGUGAGAAUCCCGUCUUUGACACGGACUACCAGGGCUUAUGUGAUGCGCUCUCAAAGAGUCGAGUUGUUUGGGAAUGCAGCUCUAAAUGGGUGGUAAAUUCCAUCUAAAGCUAAAUAUUGGCGAGAGACCGAUAGCGAACAAGUACCGUGAGGGAAAGAUGAAAAGAACUUUGGAAAGAGAGUUAAACAGUACGUGAAAUUGUUGAAAGGGAAACGCUUGAAGUCAGUCACAUUGGCCAGGGAUCAACCUUGCUUUUGCUUGGUGUAUUUUCUGGUGAAUGGGUCAGCAUCAAUUUUGACCGGUGGAAAAAGAUCAAGGGAAUGUGGCAUCUUCGGAUGUGUUAUAGCCCUUGGUUGUAUACAUCGGUUGGGAUUGAGGAACUCAGCACGCCGCAAGGCCGGGUUUUUAACCACGUACGUGCUUAGGAUGCUGGCAUAAUGGCUUUAAUCGA
rnacentral:rRNA from 1 species